rnacentral:rRNA from 1 species
UGGGGAAUAUUGGACAAUGGGCGAAAGCCUGAUCCAGCCAUGCCGCGUGUGUGAAGAAGGUCUUCGGAUUGUAAAGCACUUUAAGUUGGGAGGAAGGGCAGUAAGCGAAUACCUUGCUGUUUUGACGUUACCGACAGAAUAAGCACCGGCUAACUCUGUGCCAGCAGCCGCGGUAAUACAGAGGGUGCAAGCGCUAAUCGGAAUUACUGGGCGUAAAGCGCGCGUAGGUGGUUCGUUAAGUUGAAUGUGAAAGCCCCGGGCUCAACCUAGAAACUGCAUCCAAAACUGGCGAGCUAGAGUAGGGCAGAGGGUGGUGGAAUUUCCUGUGUAGCGGUGAAAUGCGUAGAUAUAGGAAGGAACACCAGUGGCGAAGGCGACCACCUGGGCUCAUACUGACACUGAGGUGCGAAAGCGUGGGGAGCAAACAGG